AGCAGAGUCGCUAAAGCGCAUGACCCCCAGCCUUAGAGUUUAAUAAGGCUGUGGGUUCAAUUCCCACCUCUGCUG
rnacentral:tRNA from 1 species